rnacentral:siRNA from 1 species
CGCCUAACGGCGUGCCUCGGCAUCA